rnacentral:rRNA from 1 species
GGCGGACGGGUGAGAAACGCGUGGGUAAUCUGCCCUCGAGUGGGGAAUAACACUGGGAAACCGGUGCUAAUACCGCAUGACAUCCUCGGACCCUCGGGUUCGGGGAUCAAAGCUGGGGACCGCAAGGCCUAGCGCUCGAGGAGGAGCCCGCGUCCGAUUAGCUUGUUGGUGAGGUAAUGGCUCACCAAGGCUCCGAUCGGUAGCCGGCCUGAGAGGGCGGACGGCCACACUGGGACUGANACACGGCCCAGACUCCUACGGGAGGCAGCAGUGGGGAAUUUUGCGCAAUGGGGGAAACCCUGACGCAGCAACGCCGCGUGGAGGAUGAAGGCCUUCGGGUCGUAAACUCCUGUCAAUCGGGACGAAAGCGCUCCGGCCCAAUACGUCGUGGUGUUGACUGUACCGG